rnacentral:rRNA from 1 species
CUAAGGCUCCGGAGGAAGCCACGGCUAACUCUGUGCCAGCAGCCGCGGUAAUACAGAGGCGGCAAGCGUUGUUCGGAAUUAUUGGGCGUAAAGGGCACGUAGGCGGCUGUGUAGGUCGGUUGUGAAAGCCUUCCGCUCAACGGAAGAACAGCAGCCGAUACUGCAUGGCUUGAGUGCGGGAGGGGAGAGUGGAACUUCUGGUGGAGCGGUGAAAUGCGUAGAUAUCAGAAGGAACGCCGGCGGCGAAAGCGGCUCUCUGGACCGUAACUGACGCUGAGUGUGCGAAAGCUAGGGGAGCAAACGGGAUUAGAUACCCCGGUAGUCCUAGCCGUAAA